AAAUGCUACAGUCAAAAUGCUGCCUCUAUUGGAAACUUCUUUUACAAGUGCUGUAAGAGUUUGGGAAAUCUGUCAAACAUUCUGAGCAGCUGCUGAGCAGAGCCCUCGGAUCCGUGUGUGCUUUGGCAUCGUUGGGAUGCACAGGAGCAAAGAGAAGAGAUGACAGACUUCAGAGACUGAGGAAUUGCUGCUGGAGUACUGGAGCAAUGAGGCAGAAGGAAGGGGCUGGCCCCUGCUUGUACCUGCAGCCCCAGGGCUGCUGUCCAUAA
ensembl:lncRNA